CAGGAUGAACGCUAGCUACAGGCUUAACACAUGCAAGUCGAGGGGCAGCAUGAGGGUAGCAAUACCUUGAUGGCGACCGGCGCACGGGUGCGUAACACGUAUCCAAUCUACCCAUGGCUCGGGAAUAGCCUUUCGAAAGAAAGAUUAAUGCCCGAUGGUCUCAAGUAAAGACAUCUUUUCUUGAGUAAAGAUUUAUCGGCGAUGGAUGAGGAUGCGUCUGAUUAGGUAGUAGGCGGGGUAACGGCCCACCUAGCCGACGAUCAGUAGGGGUUCUGAGAGGAAGGUCCCCCACAUUGGAACUGAGACACGGUCCAAACUCCUACGGGAGGCAGCAGUGAGGAAUAUUGGUCAAUGGUCGAGAGACUGAACCAGCCAAGUAGCGUGAAAGGAUGACUGCCCUAUGGGUUGUAAACUUCUUUUGUUUGGGAAUAAAGUGGGCCACGUGUGGCCUUUUGUAUGUACCAUACGAAUAAGCAUCGGCUAAUUCCGUGCCAGCAGCAGC
rnacentral:rRNA from 1 species